GGAGGAGUGAAGAGCAAAAAAAAGGCACCGCGGCAGAGGCGCCGGCAGCAGGGAGAGGGUCGGCGGCCGGCGGGCACCCCCGCACCCAUCAGCCGGAUCAAGACUCCGUGUGGAUUAAACCUUUGGAAAGAAGGAGGGGGAAAAAAAAUAAAAGCCCACCCCGAAACCCCCACAUCAGGACGACCUGGGCUUUUUAAAAGGGAUACAACACUC